GAUGAACGCUAGCGGCAGGCCUAAUACAUGCAAGUCGGACGGGAUUUGGGAGCUUGCUCCUAAUGAGAGUGGCGCACGGGUGCGUAACACGUAUGUAACCUACCUUAGUCAGGGGGAUAGCCUCUCGAAAGAGAGAUUAAGACCGCAUAACAUUAUUGAGUGGCAUCAUUUAGUAAUCAAAUAUUUAUAGGACUAAGAUGGGCAUGCGGAACAUUAGCUAGUUGGUAGGGUAACGGCCUACCAAGGCUACGAUGUUUAGGGGAUCUGAGAGGAUGGGCCCCCACACUGGUACCGAGACCCGGACCAGACUCCUACGGGAGGGAGCAGUAAGGAAUAUUGGUCAAUGGGCGGAAGCCUGAACCAGCCAUGCCGCGGGCAGGAAGACGGCCCUACGGGUUGUAAACUGCUUUUAUACGGGAAUAAACCUACUUACGUGUAAGUAGCUGAAUGUACUGUAAGAAUAAGGAUCGGCUAACUCCGUGCCAGCAGCCGCGGUAA
rnacentral:rRNA from 1 species